rnacentral:rRNA from 1 species
UACGUAGGGUGCGAGCGUUAAUCGGAAUUACUGGGCGUCAAGCGUGCGUAGGCGGUUCGUUAAGUUCGUUGUGAAAGCCCCGGGCUCAACCUGGGAAUGGCAAUGGAAACUGGCGGGCUGGAGUAUGGCAGAGGGGGGUGGAAUUCCACGUGUAGCAGUGAAAUGCGUAGAGAUGUGGAGGAAUACCGAUGGCGAAGGCAGCCCCCUGGGAUAACACUGACGCUCAUGCACGAAAGCGUGGGGAGCAAACAGG